ACUGUGUCUAUGCAACAAGGUCCCCUUGGUGUCCUCCAAGGGAACUCGCUGAGAGUGUCGUUCACUGAGCUGAAUUUGAGGCAGCAGGAGGAGAUUCAGUGUGUGCAGUUGUCAUGACUGUCACUCCACAUGCUCAAGAGCCUCAGGCAAGGAUUAAUUUGCAAAUCUCAAGCAAGUUAUAGGUAAAUCAGAGUCUUAGACUUGCCUAAAUCCUGAACAUAUUGCACUUCGGGUGUUUGCAUGCUGUAGUUAUAAGCACUACCUGAAAGCAGACAAUGGCAUGGGGUGGGAAAGCAAAGCGUGGUUACCCCCUCUUUUUCCACUCUUCUCAUUUCAGUGCAGUAUCCACUUCAGCUCCCUACUCCUCCCACCUUGGCUCAUUGUGUGCUGUGCCUGGGUCUGCAGGGAGCAGCGGGACUGAACUGCUGCAGGCUGGUGUCACCCACCCAUAAGUUGUGCUCUGCCUCUCUGCACAUCUGUGCCAGCUGAUUUGUGGAGCUGUGCCGAGUAUUUGCAGAGGAAGAGAGGCCUCUGAAGGAUAGUCCUGGAGGAUGGAAAGCUUUUGGGCAGCACAUUUGAGUGGUGGUGCUACUAAAGAGGCUGGGACAAAAUACUGCCAUGAAAAUGAUGUGCAGGUGGGAUCCCACCAAAUCAUCCUUGUCUUCUCCUUGGCUCAGGUGGUAAAGGCAUCCAGGCACCCUCCUCCUCCCUCCGCUGCUGCGCUGCGUCUGCCUCUCCUCUUCCUUGCUGCCUUUGUGAUUUCUACAUUCUCGGGAGUGCUGUCCCCUUCUCUCAUGGAUUCCUCUUCCAAAUGAUGCCUGUUUCAGUCCAGCCCAGCUCCUUAUUUAUGCCUCCCUUGGGAGCAGUGCUCUCUGCAACUCACAGCCUCUGAGAUUUUAUUAAAUUGAAGCGGUGUGGAAGGGAAACAGCACAAGCCUGAGCUGUGCUGUCUCCUUUGUGUCCCUGCUAUCUGUUCAGUCUCUGAGCAGUUGGGAACAGAUCCUUUCACUAAAACUGUGAGUUAGCAGGCAAGGGCAGAAAUUAUUAUAAUAAAAUCCUCCUGUUACACUU